rnacentral:lncRNA from 1 species
AAACAAACAAAACAUGGCUCUGCUUGUAAACCUUCCCUGCUUACGUCAACCCGACUCAACCUGCAGGUCGUCUCCGGAGUUAAAGCCACCAUGAGCAGAUGUAAUACCCUCCCUCCAACCUUCUUCCACAUUGGUUUGCCACUUAAUUUCUGAAAGGCCUUAUAAAAACUGCAAAUCUACCCAGGACAGGUGCAGGCCUCAGGACCCAACCUUGUAAGAAGCAGGCGCACACUGCAGUGAGGAAAUGAGCCUCUGUAAUGCUGAGAAGGCUUUGUCUGUGACUGGACCCCACUGAAGUAAGCACCGCCACCUGAGACAGCAAGGUGAGGUCAGAAGUUGCGGCGGGGGCGGUAGGCUUGUCAGGCUGCCUGAUGAAAGCACACGACAGGCAGCUCAGAGGCUCUGGGUGGCUCAACACACUUUCUGGC